rnacentral:rRNA from 1 species
UACGUAGGGGGCAAGCGUUGUCCGGAAUCAUUGGGCGUAAAGCACACGUAGGCGGCUUCGCAAGUCGGAUGUGAAAUCCCUCGGCUCAACCGAGGACGUGCAUACGAAACUGCGAAGCUUGAGUACUGAAGAGGAUCGCGGAAUUCCCGGUGUAGAGGUGAAAUUCGUAGAUAUCGGGAGGAACACCAGUGGCGAAGGCGGCGAUCUGGGCAGAUACUGACGCUGAGGUGCGAAAGCGUGGGGAGCAAACAGA